ACCAAGAAAUCGGAUUUAGAUCGGGGGAAAUCGAAAGUAGUUGAGUAGCCGAUCAAUUAGUCGACGACAUCUGAGAUUUCGGUGUUCGCUACGUGUUCGGGAAUCGUCAGCUAAGCUCGUCACACUAUCGAUAUUUUCUUUUGUGGAAAUUCAAAGCGAAGAAACCCGGAAGUGCUUUAAGGUGAAUGUCAACGACUGAAACCCUUUUACGAGAAUUUUCAAAUGCACACAGUUGAGGAGAUUGUUCUCGAGGAACCCAGAACUUGAAUAACAGGUCGUCGAGCUAACGACGUUAAACAAAGCGUUGUUGGGAGGCAACCCAAAUUUUUUCCUUUAUGUAAAUAAAAUUUUUGGUAAAACGGAAAAUGAAAAUGCAUG